rnacentral:rRNA from 1 species
ACUAAGCGUACACGGUGGAUGCCCUGGCAGUCAGAGGCGAUGAAGGACGUGCUAAUCUGCGAUAAGCGUCGGUGAGGUGAUAUGAACCGUUAUAACCGGCGAUUUCCGAAUGGGGAAACCCAGUGUGAUUCGUCACACUAUCAUUAACUGAAUCCAUAGGUUAAUGAGGCGAACCGGGGGAACUGAAACAUCUAAGUACCCCGAGGAAAAGAAAUCAACCGAGAUUCCCCCAGUAGCGGCGAGCGAACGGGGAG